rnacentral:rRNA from 2 species
ACAGAGUUUUGAUCCUGGCUCAGGAUGAACGCUGGCGGCGUGCCUAAUACAUGCAAGUCGAGCGAACUGAUUAGAAGCUUGCUUCUAUGACGUUAGCGGCGGACGGGUGAGUAACACGUGGGCAACCUGCCUGUAAGACUGGGAUAACUUCGGGAAACCGAAGCUAAUACCGGAUAGGAUCUUCUCCUUCAUGGGAGAUGAUUGAAAGAUGGUUUCGGCUAUCACUUACAGAUGGGCCCGCGGUGCAUUAGCUAGUUGGUGAGGUAACGGCUCACCAAGGCAACGAUGCAUAGCCGACCUGAGAGGGUGAUCGGCCACACUGGGACUGAGACACGGCCCAGACUCCUACGGGAGGCAGCAGUAGGGAAUCUUCCGCAAUGGACGAAAGUCUGACGGAGCAACGCCGCGUGAGUGAUGAAGGCUUUCGGGUCGUAAAACUCUGUUGUUAGGGAAGAACAAGUACGAGAGUAACUGCUCGUACCUUGACGGUACCUAACCAGAAAGCCACGGCUAACUACGUGCCAGCAGCCGCGGUAAUACGUAGGUGGCAAGCGUUAUCCGGAAUUAUUGGGCGUAAAGCGCGCGCAGGCGGUUUCUUAAGUCUGAUGUGAAAGCCCACGGCUCAACCGUGGAGGGUCAUUGGAAACUGGGGAACUUGAGUGCAGAAGAGAAAAGCGGAAUUCCACGUGUAGCGGUGAAAUGCGUAGAGAUGUGGAGGAACACCAGUGGCGAAGGCGGCUUUUUGGUCUGUAACUGACGC